AAAUUUGUGUCUUGAUUUUUUUUUUUUAAAUUUUUAUUUAUUUACUUUUUCGAUGGAUCAUUUCACAUCAUCCACACAAUAAAAAAAACGAAAACAAAAACAAAAAGCCAUAGUGUUUUAUGAAAACAAAAGCAAGCUU
rnacentral:ribozyme from 13 species